GGAGGGAUCAUUAACGCUCUCUCAUCAUCCGUUGUUGUGAUAGCAAUAUCACAACAAUCAUCACUAAAAGGGCUUUUGUGUGUGUGUGCGUGCACACACACACAAGCCUGAACGCGCAUCUCUCUCUCUCUCUCUCUCUAUAUCUCUAUCUCGAUCUCUCACGUUCGAGCGAGAGAGAGAGAGAGAGAGAGAGAGUGAACGCUACUGUGUCGCGCGUGCAUGUGUCUCUCUCUCACGAGACGAGACGCAUAUACACAACACACAGAGUUGAAGUACUCCCAUAUAUAAUAUAUAUAUAUAAACAAACUCUAAAACAGCAGCAGCGAGAGAUUGAACAGCAUCGUACAUGGACACAUACACAUGCGUAAAGUGUGUGUGCGUGUGUGUGUAUAUGAUGUUGGCAACACAAACGUAUUAUUAAUAUAAUCAAAUAAUAAUAACAACUCCUAACAACGGAUAUCUUGGUUCUCGCGAGGAUGAAGAACGCAGCGAAAUGCGAUACGUAGUGUGAAUCGCAGGGAUCAGUGAAUCAUCGAAUCUUUGAACGCAAGUUGCGCUCUCGUGGUUUAACCCCCCGGGAGCACGUUCGCUUGAGUGCCGCUUCCAUCUAUCCAUUCAACAAGUCUCAUUCCACACACACCACCAUGUGGUGGAAUUGGGGGAACGGGCUUUACCACCGCCGGCGGCGGUGGCAUGGCCUCAGAUUGUGUAUGGUGAUUUUGUGCCCCAACACACACAGAUAUAUGCAUAUUAUCGUGUGCGAGGCUCUCAUGUGUUGUUGUUGUCGGUGUCGGUUGGUUGUGUGUGUGUGUGUGUGUGUUUUGUAUGGGGUUGUUGUCCACACACCCGGUAUAGCGGUUUGUGCUGCUGCCUUGCUGCGGCUGCCCCCCUUCAUCGGGAGGCGGCUGUGCACGGCAUGCGCUCAAUUCAAUUAUGCCGUGUUUGUGCGUGGACGCGAUCUCAUAUAUCUGGUGUGUGUGUGUGUGUGUGUGUCUCUCGCACACACACACACACACACACCCACGCCACCACCAACUCUCUCCAACACCCGCACAUGCAUGCAUAUGAGCAGUCGCGCAUGCAUUCCAAAGGUAAUAUGUAUAUGUGUAUGAACACGGCGGCACAGUAUAUAUGCACCUAACUACUACAACACUCUUUUAAUGAGAUGAUUGUUAAUUUUUCCCGGCCUCAAGUCGAGCGACAGUACCCGCCGAAUUUAAGCAUAUUAAUAAGCGGAGGAAAAGAAACCAACAGGGAUUCCCUUAGUAGCGGCGAGCGAAGCGGGAGGAGCCCAAGCUCUGAAUCUGGGCGCGCGCCAAGUCCGUGCCCCGAAUUGUGGUCUCAUGGCAAGGCAUCGCUGAGCGCGGUCGCUGGUCGGGCAAAAGUCCCUUGGAAAAGGGCGCCAGGGAGGGUGACAGCCCCGUCCAUUGGUCCGGCAUCGCGGCCGUCUCGAUUGCGCUGUUGCACUUGCCCCAGAGUCGGGUUGUUUGGGAAUGCAGCCCUAAGCGGGUGGUAAAUCCCACCCAAGGCUAAAUAUUGUCAGCGAGAGACCGAUAGCGAACAAGUACCGUGAGGGAAAGAUGAAAAGGACUUUGAAAAGAGAGUCAAAAGUGCUUGAAAUUGUUAGGAGGGAAGCGAUCGGCGCCGGCGGUUCGUCUUUAGUCUGGGGCUGUUCAGUGGUGCCUGCUUGUCGGGAGGGCCGCAGCGGCGGGGAGUGCUCACGUGCCUCCGCUCUGUGUUCGUUCCGGCGCAAACCAUGCAUUCAGUCCCGGCGACGAGCCAGCAUCGGCUUCAUGUUUAAAUGCGUGUGGCUGACGGGCGCUGGGGAUCAAAGGGCCUGGCGGGCCGGCUUCACAGCCGUGUCCCGCCGGUGCGACCCAGCGUACCUGCCAUCGCAGGGGCCGAGGAACCAAUUAACCCAUGCCCGCAAGGGCGAGGCAGUGCGUCACCGUGGCGGGCAUGCGUGUGGGGAUCGGGAACCGAUGCCCGUGUGCAUGCCUGUCGCCCCCGUGGCGCGCGUCCAUCUCUGGUGGGUUAGUGAUGCUGGCGGAACGGCGCUGAUCGACCCGUCUUGAAACACGGACCAAGGAGUCUAACACGUGCGCGAGUGUCCGGGUGGCAAACCUGGGCGCGGAGUGAAAGCAGAGGGCGGCAUUAAGCGGUCGCCUGAGGUGGGAAGGGGCGCGCGUGCGCGCGUGCUCCCGCACCACCGGCCGACCUGGAUUUUCUUGAAGGGUUUGAGCCAGAGCGUAUUUGUUGGGACCCGAAAGAUUGUGAACUAUGGGUGACCAGGACGAAGCCAGAGGAAACUCUGGUGGAGGUCCGAAGUGAUACUGACGUGCAAAUCGUUCAUCUGAGUUGCCUAUAGGGGCGAAAGACUAAUCGAACAAUCUAGUAGCUGGUUCCCUC
rnacentral:misc_RNA from 1 species